rnacentral:rRNA from 1 species
GAAUUUUGGACAAUGGGCGAAAGCCUGAUCCAGCAAUGCCGCGUGCAGGAUGAAGGCCUUCGGGUUGUAAACUGCUCUUGUACGGAACGAAAAGCUUCGGGUUAAUACCCUGGAGUCAUGACGGUACAGUAAGAAUCAGAACCGGCUAAAUACGUGACAGAGGCCGCGGCAAUACGUAGGCUGCAAGCGUUAAUCGGAAUUACUGGGCGUAAGACGUUCGCAGUCGGUUUUGUGAGACAGAGGUGAAAUCCCCGGGCGCAACAUGGUAACUGCCUUUGUGACUGCAAGGCUAGAGUACGGCGGAGGGGGGUGUAAUUCCGCGUGUAGCAGUGAAAUGCGUAGAGAUGCGGAGGAACACCGAUGGCGAAGGCAACCCCCUGGGCCUGUACUGACGCUCAUGCACGAAAGCGUGGGGAGCAAACA